GUGGGGAAUUUUGGACAAUGGGCGCAAGCCUGAUCCAGCCAUUCCGCGUGCAGGAUGAAGGCCUUCGGGUUGUAAACUGCUUUUGUACGGAACGAAAAGCCUCUGGUUAAUACCCGGGGGUCAUGACGGUACCGUAAGAAUAAGCACCGGCUAACUACGUGCCAGCAGCCGCGGUAAUACGUAGGGUGCGAGCGUUAAUCGGAAUUACUGGGCGUAAAGCGUGCGCAGGCGGUGAUGUAAGACAGUUGUGAAAUCCCCGGGCUCAACCUGGGAACUGCAUCUGUGACUGCAUUGCUGGAGUGCGGCAGAGGGGGAUGGAAUUCCGCGUGUAGCAGUGAAAUGCGUAGAUAUGCGGAGGAACACCAGUGGCGAAGGCGACCACCUGGACUGAUACUGACACUGAGGUGCGAAAGCGUGGGGAGCAAACAGGAUUAGAAACCCCUGUAGUCC
rnacentral:rRNA from 1 species